GUGUCAGCAGCCGCGGUAAUACGGAGGGUGCAAACGUUGCUCGGAAUCAUUGGGCGUAAAGCGCGUGUAGGCGGCUUGUUAAGUCGGGUGUGAAAGCCCUGGGCUCAACCCAGGAAGUGCGCCCGAAACUGGCGAGCUAGAGUACGGGAGAGGGUAGUGGAAUUCCCGGUGUAGAGGUGAAAUUCGUAGAUAUCGGGAGGAACACCAGUGGCGAAGGCGGCUACCUGGACCGAUACUGACGCUGAGACGCGAAAGCGUGGGUAGCAAACAGGAUUAGAAACCCCAGUAGUCC
rnacentral:rRNA from 1 species